rnacentral:rRNA from 1 species
ACGAACGCUGGCGGCGUGCCUAACACAUGCAAGUCAACUUGACUGAAGGAGCAAUCUGACAGUAGAGUGGCGCAAGGGUGCGUAACGCGUAAGUAACUUGCCCAAGGUAAGGAAUAACGUCGAGAAAUCGGCGCUAAUACCUCAUAAUGCAGCGGAUCCGCAUGGAUAUGUUGUUAAAGGUUUACCGCCUUGGGAUAGGCUUGCGUCUGAUUAGUUAGUUGGUGUGGUAACGGCACACCAAGACUACGAUCAGUAACUGGUCUGAGAGGAUGAUCAGUCACACUGGAACUGAGACACGGUCCAGACUCCUACGGGAGGCAGCAGUGAGGAAUAUUGGGCAAUGCUCGAAAGAGUGACCCAGCAACGCCGCGUGGAGGAUGAAGGUAUUCUAUAUCGUAAACUCCUGUGAGAGCAGACGAAAGACAGAUUAUUAAUCUGGAUGACUGUAUGCUCAGAGGAAGCCCCGGCUAACUACGUG